rnacentral:rRNA from 1 species
GACGAACGCUGGCGGCGUGCUUAACACAUGCAAGUCGAGCGGAAAGGCCCUUCGGGGUACUCGAGCGGUGAACGGGUGAGUAACACGUGAGCAACCUGCCCUAGGCUUUGGGAUAACCCUCGGAAACGGGGGCUAAUACCGGAUAGGACCUCCUGCCGCAUGGUGGGAGGUGGAAAGUUUGUCGGCCUGGGAUGGGCUCGCGGCCUAUCAGCUUGUUGGUGGGGUGAUGGCCUACCAAGGCGACGACGGGUAGCCGGCCUGAGAGGGCGACCGGCCACACUGGGACUGAGACACGGCCCAGACUCCUACGGGAGGCAGCAGUGGGGAAUAUUGCACAAUGGGCGGAAGCCUGAUGCAGCGACGCCGCGUGAGGGAUGACGGCCUUCGGGUUGUAAACCUCUUUCAGCAGGGACGAAGCGUAAGUGACGGUACCUGCAGAAGAAGCGCCGGCCAACUACGUGCCAGCCGCCGCGGUAAGAC